UACAGGAGGUGCGAGCGUUUGUCCGGAAUCACUGGGCGUAAAGGGCGCGUAGGUGGUGGCUUAAGCGUGCGGUGAAAGCUCGGGGCUCAACCCCGAGUCGGCCGUGCGAACUGGGCUCACUGGAGCAUAGUAGAGGCAGGUGGAAUUCCGGGUGUAGCGGUGGAAUGCGUAGAGAUCCGGAAGAACACCGGUGGCGAAGGCGGCCUGCUGGGCUAUGGCUGACACUGAGGCGCGACAGCGUGGGGAGCAAACAGGG
rnacentral:rRNA from 1 species